rnacentral:rRNA from 1 species
CCUACGGGCGGCAACAGUGAGGAAUAUUGGUCAAUGGACGAGAGUCUGAACCAGCCAAGUAGCGUGAAGGAUGACUGCCCUAUGGGUUGUAAACUUCUUUUAUAUGGGAAUAAAACGUUCCACGUGUGGGAUUUUGUAUGUACCAUAUGAAUAAGGAUCGGCUAACUCCGUGCCAGCAGCCGCGGUAAUACGGAGGAUCCGAGCGUUAUCCGGAUUUAUUGGGUUUAAAGGGAGCGUAGGUGGAUUGUUAAGUCGGUUGUGAAAGUUUGCGGCUCAACCGUAAAAUUGCAGUUGAAACUGGCAGUCUUGAGUACAGUAGAGGUGGGCGGAAUUCGUGGUGUAGCGGUGAAAUGCUUAGAUAUCACGAAGAACUCCGAUUGCGAAGGCAGUUCACUGGACUGCAACUGACACUGAGGCUCGAAAGUGUGGGUAUCAAACAGGAUUAGAUACCCCUGUAGUC